rnacentral:rRNA from 1 species
UACGUAGGGUGCAAGCGUUAAUCGGAAUUACUGGGCGUAAAGCGUGCGCAGGCGGUUUUGUAAGUCUGUCGUGAAAGCCCCGGGCUCAACCUGGGAAUUGCAUUCGAGACUGCUCUGCUAGGGUGCGGAAGAGGGGAGCGGAAUUUCCGGUGUAGCGGUGAAAUGCGUAGAUAUCGGAAGGAACACCAGUGGCGAAAGCGGCUCCCUGGUCCAGCACCGACGUUCAGGCACGAAAGCGUGGGGAGCAAACAGG